AGCAAGCUGUAAUUGAAAAAAAAAUAUAAUUGAAGUAAAAAAAUUGAAUUUAAAAAAAAAGGAGAAGUAUUGAAAGUUUUGUGAUCGUAUUCUUGUUUCCCGAUCAAGCAAAGUUUGUUCUUCUAUCUACUAUCCUUAUCUACCAUCCUUAAAACGCCACACUUUAAACCAAUUUUAUUUUUGUUUCAGCCUACUUUAC
rnacentral:lncRNA from 1 species